CAUUACCUGGGCUGGUGAAUCAUCCAUUCUCCCCCACAAGACAAUUCAUUCCAGCCCUGAGAAUCUUUAUGAGAAAGUUCCUCAUCGUAUUUAGGAAAAUUCUAUGCCUCUGUAAUUUUCACAGACUGAUCCAAAUUUCCGUACUCAGAGCACUACAGAGUAAAUGAUUUCCACCCUCCACUUGAUGGUUCCUCAGGAACACAUGAUUCCUGGGCAGUGUUUAUAAUAUCAGCAAUUUAUUGAGAGGCUGUCAUGGUCAGCUUCUCAACAUGUGUUAUCUUUAUCCUUGCAACAUCUAAAUGAGGCAGAUUCUUAACCACUGGAACACCAGAGAAGUCCUCCUCUAACAUCUG
ensembl:lncRNA